UACGAAGGGGGCUAGCGUUGCUCGGAAUCACUGGGCGUAAAGGGUGCGUAGGCGGGUCUUUAAGUCAGGGGUGAAAUCCUGGAGCUCAACUCCAGAACUGCCUUUGAUACUGAAGAUCUUGAGUUCGGGAGAGGUGAGUGGAACUGCGAGUGUAGAGGUGAAAUUCGUAGAUAUUCGCAAGAACACCAGUGGCGAAGGCGGCUCACUGGCCCGAUACUGACGCUGAGGGGCGAAAGCGUGGGGAGCGAACAGG
rnacentral:rRNA from 1 species